UUAAUUAAAUAUUCUAUAUAAAACAAAAUCCAUAAAUAAAGUACAAAUUUAAUUUCCCAUAAUUGUCUGUGGGAUAGUAUAACAUUUUACAAUAUAGUGCAGUAUGCAUGCAAUAGUCAAUUUAUAUUAAAAAACUUUCAAUGGCAAAAAAUAUAAUAAUAAUAAGAGAAAAUAAAAGAACAUAAUUAAAAGUAAUUAUCUUUCUCACCUCUAAGACCCCUAAAUUGUUCAAUCUUCCCAAAACACCAUUGUUAUUAUUUUGUUAUUUUCUAUAUAUUUCCUAUGCUUUUAUAAUCAUAUGAAUGUUACUUUUAGUUUUUAUUUCACUUUGAGUAUUAUCAAAUCCAUUCCCUAAGUAACUGACUUCCUUUUCAGUAAUAUCUAUUCUCAUUUAUACUGUAGCUAUUUUUUAAUUUUCUAAAUAAUUUUACUUUUCCUUUCAUUCCUGAGAUAUUCCAACUCCAUCCUUCUAUUGUCUCAUUGUGUCUUCUUUGAAGCCAAUUAACUGUCAUUCAAACUUCUUUUUAUGUAGAAAGAAGCUAUGUAGGCUAUGUUGUCUGUAAUUGAUUUUAAAGCAGUUGUCUCUCUCAGUAAUUUUUUCUGUUUGGUAUUCUUUGCAGUGUUUUUAUAUUAAUGCAUUAAUUUUAUAAUUUUGCUUAUAUUUUUUGUAAUUCUUUUGCAUAUAUUAUAUGCUGUAUCUUUCUAAUUAUUACUAAUCUUGGAAUGUCAGAUAUUUUUUUCUGGGCCAGAAUGCUACUAAACAAUAAAUGGUAUUUCAGUCUGAGCCCGGUUAUUGCACUGGAAAAGCAGGCCUAUGGAAUUCAGGUCAGUUACACAAACUGACUAACACUCUACUCUUGGUAUAUCUCUGCUCAGCAGUAGCAGAAGAUAUUUUUGACUCACAGCAGAACCCUAUAUGUCACAUGUCCUUUACUAGUGUUUUACUUCUCUUUAGAUGACAGAGAGUAUAAGUUUUAGAAAUAAUAUUCACUUACUGUGUUCCUCCACCCUAGCACAGUGACAAGAGCCUCAGGCAAAGAUAAUGUGUCCAUGAUUCUUCAUCUACCUCCACUUCACUUGUCACUCUGUGGUGUCAUCUAGGCACAGGGACUUUUUGUAGCCUUUCUGUGACAACUGGCCUUAUUUCUCCAAAGAAGGUAUCACUGGAUUACCCCUUUUCUGGCCCAGAGCAUGCCUCCUAAUUUGGGAGUAUUCUGUGUCCUGUUAGAGAUCUGAAAUGGCUUAAAUCUUGAGUAGCAUGGACAAUUUGGCCAUUAUUUCAGUAUACUUUGCAGUAGUUCUUUCAUAGUUACAUUAAAAAUAAACCUUAUUUCUCUGUUCUUACUUGCUUUUAUUCCACUGAUUUCUGAGCAGAAAAUAACAGAGGUAGUGGUGACCUUAAACAUCAACUUCUAACCAGAAAACUUCAUGCUGAGUUUAUUAAAGCUUCCAUCAACUGCCUUGCCAUUAUAAAGGAAACAGUAGGUUAUUUAUUUUCUGAAUUUUUUACUUUAAAAAAUUCUUUAGAAAUAUCUUUCAUUGCAUAGAUAGAAAAAUUCUUAUUUGGAGGAUUUCUAAAAUAACAAAUUGAUGAACAUGUUAAAUUAAACAUGGACAUUUAUGUUUGUAAUAAUAUAGUUUUUUUCUGUGAUGAACCCAAUGAUGGGGACGUAGACUGAAUUUUUUUUUUUUUUUGUCUUUUGUCUUUUUAGGGGACUGUUGUGGCAUAUGGAGGUUCCCAGGAUAGGGGUCGAAUUGGAGCUGUAGCUACCAGCCUAAGCCACAGCCACAGCUAUGCCAUAUCUGAGCUAUGUCUGUGAACUAUACCACAGAUCAUGGCAACGCCAGAUCCUUAACCCACAGAGCGAGGCCAGGGAUUGAACACAUGUUGAUGAGUAUUUUGAUUUUCUUUUAAAAGGAAGGAGUUUGGCAUAUAUUUUAUAUAAUUUAUAAUGAUUUUGAUCAAGUCAGAGGCCAUUAAAUUUGUUUUUGUCUUUAAAUUCUGUAUUUUAUCAGUAACUUGCACUGGAAUAUUCUUUUCCAUUUUAGAGUUGUCUUUGGAGGAAAUUUAGUCAUAUUUCUUUGUCUUCUUAUUUUAUCUUCUUAGUAAAUUAAGUACUUCCCACUAGAUUCUACCUUCUACUUAGAAAUCUUGCUUUCUUCUUCCCAUAUCCGAGUUCUUUCUAAUAUCACUUAAUGCAUUCCAAGCAUUACAACUACUUUUUUUAUCACAUCUGAAGUUCCAUAAAAGAAUUUGCACAUAUAAGAAUGCAUGUGCACUCCAAUCCCUCUUGUGCAGCAGACACAUUUUAUUUUGCAGGCAUGUUUUGAAUAUAGGAAAAUGUUAAUCCUAAGAAUAUUACAUUUAGAAAGCUCAAGGCAACCACGGGGAAAUUUUCUUAAAGCUGUUCAUUACAAACCUAAGCAUACUUCUGGUUCCCCUAUCAUUCAGACAAUGAGGGGACAUUUUAUAUUAACAUUAGGCAGAUGUUUUGCUCACUUUUAAAUGGUUAUUGUUUUGAAGACUACAUUAUAGAAUGCCUUUAAAACCCAAUAAUAAGGGAUGGUUUUGAAGACAGAGUAAAAUUUUAUUUUUGAAUUAUGAUUUACCAUGUAACUAUUAAACAUUAACCUAUAAGCAAACAAUUUUGUUAGUCAUAAAGUAGUCUUUCUAUUACACCAAUAAGAUAAAAAUUUGAAUAACACAGCAUAUAUAUAUAUAUAUAUCUACAUAUACACAUACACACACACAAAUAAAAAUGUAGAAAGAGAUAAAAAAAAUCUCAGAGUUGAAUUCACUUUGCAAUCAGGAAAUUAAGCCUGUGGAUUUUAUCUUUAAAUAAUUAGGUUUAGCAACUAUAUGCUAUUAAAAACCAGUGUCUAGAUGCCUACUUAAAAUUUACUGUGAAAUAUCAUUUGCCAACAAAGCAGAUUUGAAAAGUGUAUUUUGGAAGUUUCUAGUUAUUUAUGUUAAGGGUGUGUGUGAAAUAUUUUUAAUAAGGAUAUUAAGAAGUAACAUAACUUCAUUUUGUUUAAAUAUAGAAAGCCAGAGAAUGAAUUUUUAUAUAAAUGUUUAUAGUUAUAUAAUUCAUUUAUGGAAGGAAAGUCAUAGGCAAGAAGGAAUAGAUAGAUGAUGAUAAAACAUAAGAUGUGUCAGCUGGGCUGCAUGGUUCACUUGUAGGUAGUUGGGAUGCUCCAGUAUGGAGCAAAGGGCAGAAGGGAGCCUUCUCAACAGUAGUAACGGGCUAGAAAUCAGCCAGAACUCCAGAGCACUAUGUCCAAGAAAGCUGGCAACAUCUGGUGAUUAUUUGGGUGGAUAAUUAAUGCUAGGAUUGAAGGGAAAGAAGAAGUAACUCAUGCAGAACUUCUUCUAUCUUUGAUUUGACACUGUUUACACGUAUAAAGUGAUCUUGUUCAUACUUGGAGUUUGGAAGGCCCAGAAAGAGAAUAGCAUAUAAUUCAUUGAAGUAAUAUUAAUAUAUUACUGAAAUAAAAUAUUAGUAUAUUAUAACAUACUAAUUUUAUAUAUGUAAUAUAUUCACUAAUAUAUUAGUGACAUUUAAAAAUGAAAUUGAAUAGAUAAAACUAACAUGAACUUGAUGAAGUAGGAUGUUACUCUAGAAUGAAAUUCUGACUAAUUUAACUUUAAAACGACAUACUUCAAAGAGCACUUGACUUUUUAAGGACUAAAUGCUCAUCUUUUCUAAGUCCAAGUCAAUGUUUAUGAUGCUAGAAUGGGAGUGGACCCCCCAGUCUGUCUGAGAUUGUAGUAAUAUGUAAAUAUAGUUCCCCAUGAAUGACAUAUGAAAUAUACAAGAUAAUGAAUGUCAAGUUCAGCAGAAUGACCUAUCCUCAGAUCAUAUACUUGCCCACUGAAAUUAUUCCUGAGCUAGUCCUCGUAAGAAUUGUAUUAUUAAUUCCUAUAGCUAAUAAUGUACUAAGGGAGAGACAUUUUUCACUCUUAUUUCAUCAUUUU
rnacentral:lncRNA from 1 species